AGAGUUUGAUCCUGGCUCAGAAUCAACGCUGGCGGCGUGCCUCAGACAUGCAAGUCGAACGCGAAAGUUCCCUUCGGGAGCGAGUAGAGUGGCGCACGGGUGAGUAACACGUAGGUAAUCUACCUUCGGAUGGGGAAUAACAACCGGAAACGGUUGCUAAUACCGCAUAAUGCAGCGGCACCUAAUGGUGACAGUUGUUAAAGCGGGGGAUCGCAAGACCUCGCGUCUGAAGAGGAGCCUGCGGCAGAUUAGCUAGUUGGUAAGGUAAUGGCUUACCAAGGCGAUGAUCUGUAGCCGGCCUGAGAGGGCGGUCGGCCACACUGACACUGACAUACGGGUCAGACUCCUACGGGAGGCAGCAGUCGGGAAUUUUGGGCAAUGGGCGGAAGCCUGACCCAGCAACGCCGCGUGAAGGAUGAAAUCCUUCGGGAUGUAAACUUCGCAAGAACAGGAAGAAUAAGCCGGUGUAACACAUCGGUGAUGACGGUACUGUUUGUAAGCUCCGGCUAACUCCGUGCCAGCAGCCGCGGUAAUAC
rnacentral:rRNA from 1 species